CAGAGUAUAGCUAAGACAGAAUAGCGUUUCCCUUACACCGAGAAGUCGUCCGUGCAAAUCAGACUACCCUGA
rnacentral:tRNA from 1 species